rnacentral:rRNA from 1 species
GACGAACGCUGGCGGCGUGCUUAACACAUGCAAGUCGAACGGAAAGGCCCUGCUUGCAGGGUACUCGAGUGGCGAACGGGUGAGUAACACGUGGGUGAUCUGCCCUGCACUUCGGGAUAAGCCUGGGAAACUGGGUCUAAUACCGGAUAGGAGCCAUUUUUAGUGUGAUGGUUGGAAAGUUUUUUCGGUGUAGGAUGAGCUCGCGGCCUAUCUGCUUGUUGGUGGGGUAAUGGCCUACCAAGGCGGCGACGGGUAGCCAGCCUGAGAGGGUGGACGGCCACAUUGGGACUGAGAUACGGCCCAGACUCCUACGGGAGGCAGCAGUGGGGAAUAUUGCACAAUGGGCGCAAGCCUGAUGCAGCGACGCCGCGUGGGGGAUGACGGCCUUCGGGUUGUAAACUCCUUUCGCUAGGGACGAAGCUUUUUGUGACGGUACCUAGAUAAGAAGCACCGGCUAACUACGU